rnacentral:rRNA from 1 species
CUUACACAUGCAAGUCGAGGGGUAGUUAUCUUCGGAUAAUGAGACCGGCGCACGGGUGCGUAACGCGUAUACAAUCUACCUUUUACAGAGGGAUAGCCCAGAGAAAUUUGGAUUAAUACCUCAUAGUAUUUUUGAAUCGCAUGAUUUGAUUAUUAAAGUUCCAACGGUAAAAGAUGAGUAUGCGUCCCAUUAGCUAGAUGGUAAGGUAACGGCUUACCAUGGCUACGAUGGGUAGGGGUCCUGAGAGGGAGAUCCCCCACACUGGUACUGAGACACGGACCAGACUCCUACGGGAGGCAGCAGUGGGGAAUAUUGGACAAUGGGCGCAAGCCUGAUCCAGCCAUGCCGCGUGUGUGAAGAAGGCCUUCGGGUUGUAAAGCACUUUCAGCGAGGAGGAAGGGUUGGUAGUUAGUAGCUGCUAAUUUUGACGUUACUCGCAGAAGAAGCACCGGCUAACUCUGUGCCAGCAGCCGCGGUAAUACAGAGGGUGCAAGCGUUAAUCGGAAUUACUGGGCGUAAAGCGCACGCAGGCGGUUGGUUAAGUCAGAUGUGAAAGCCCCGGGCUCAACCUGGGAAUUGCAUUUGAAACUGGCCAACUAGAGUAUGUGAGAGGGGGGUAGAAUUCCAAGUGUAGCGGUGAAAUGCGUAGAGAUUUGGAGGAAUACCAGUGGCGAAGGCGGCCCCCUGGCACAAUACUGACGCUCAGGUGCGAAAGCGUGGGGAGCAAACAGGAUUAGAUACCCUGGUAGUCCACGCCGUAAACGAUGUCUACUAGCUGUUCGUGGUCUUGUACUGUGAGUAGCGCAGCUAACGCACUAAGUAGACCGCCUGGGGAGUACGGUCGCAAGAUUAAAACUCAAAUGAAUUGACGGGGGCCCGCACAAGCGGUGGAGCAUAUGGUUUAAUUCGGCGCAACGCGAAGAACCUUACCUACUCUUGACAUCUACGGAAGUUUGCAGAGAUGCAGAUGUGCCUUCGGGAAC